CCUACGGGAGGCAGCAGUGAGGAAUAUUGGUCAAUGGCCGGAAGGCUGAACCAGCCAUGCCGCGUGAAGGUCAGUGCCCUAUGGGCGUUAAACUUCUUUUGUGCGGGAGCAAUAAUGGGCACGUGUGGCCAGACGAGAGUACCGUACGAAUAAGCAUCGGGUAAAACCGUGCCAGCAGCCGCGGUAAUACGGGGGAUGCAAGCGUUUUCCGGAGUUAUUGGGUUUAAAGGGUGCGGAGGCUGUGAGGGAAGUCAGCGGUGAAAUGCCCCCGCGCAACGGGGUGAAGUGCCAUUGAUACUGCCUGGCUGGAAUGCGGAUGCCGUGGGAGGAAUGUGUGGUGUAGCGGUGAAAUGCAUAGAUAUCACACAGAACACCGAUUGCGAAGGCAUCUCACGAAUCCGCGAUUGACGCUGAUGCACGAAAGCGUGGGUAUCAAACAGGAUUAGAUACCCGGGUAGUC
rnacentral:rRNA from 1 species